CCAGCAGCUGCGGUAAUUCCAGCUCCAAUAGCGUAUAUUAAAGUUGUUGCGGUUAAAAAGCUCGUAGUUGGAUUUCUGCUGAGGAUGACCGGUCCGCCCUCUGGGCAGGUAUCUGGCUCAGCCUUGGCAUCUUCCUGAAGAACGCAGCUGCACUUGACUGUGUGGUGCGGUAUUUAGGACAUUUACUUUGAGGAAAUUAGAGUGUUUCAAGCAAGCGCACGCCUUGAAUACAUUAGCAUGGAAUAAUAAGAUAGGACCUCGGUUCUAUUUUGUUGGUUUCUAGAGCUGAGGUAAUGAUUGAUAGGGAUAGUUGGGGGCAUUCGUAUUUAACUGUCAGAGGUGAAAUUCUUGGAUUUGUUAAAGACUAACUUAUGCGAAAGCAUUUGCCAAGGAUGUUUUCAUUAAUCAAGAACGAAAGU
rnacentral:rRNA from 1 species